CAGUCGCCACGGGAAUACGUAGGUGGCAAGCGUUGUCCGGAAUUAUUGGGCGUAAAGCGCGCGCAGGUGGUUUAAUAAGUCUGAUGUGAAAGCCCACGGCUCAACCGUGGAGGGUCAUUGGAAACUGUUAAACUUGAGUGCAGGAGAGAAAAGUGGAAUUCCUAGUGUAGCGGUGAAAUGCGUAGAGAUUAGGAGGAACACCAGUGGCGAAGGCGGCUUUUUGGCCUGUAACUGACACUGAGGCGCGAAAGCGUGGGGAGCAAACAGGAUUAGAUACCCCUGUAGUCCCUGUCUCUUAUAC
rnacentral:rRNA from 1 species